rnacentral:rRNA from 1 species
CCUACGGGUGGCUGCAGUGAGGAAUAUUGGUCAAUGGACGAGAGUCUGAACCAGCCAAGUAGCGUGAAGGAUGACUGCCCUAUGGGUUGUAAACUUCUUUUAUAUGGGCAUAAAACAGGGUAUGCAUACCCUCUUAUGUGUACCCUAUGAAUAAGCAUCGGCUAACUCCGUGCCAGCAGCCGCGGUCAUACGUGGGAUCCGAGCGUUAUCCGGAUUUGUUGGGUUAAAGGGGUGGGUAGGCGGUCUGUACCGUCAGCGGUACAAGCCCGGGGCUCAACCACGGGGAGCCGUUGAAACUGGCUGUCUUGAGAUGUCGAGAGGUAUGCGGAAUGCGCAGUGUAGCGGUGAAAUGCUUAGAUAUUGCGCAGAACUCCGAUUGCGAAGGCAGCAUACCGGCGGCGAUCUGACGCUGAGGCACGAAAGCGUGGGUAUCGAACAGGAUUAGAUACCCGUGUAGUC